GAUGAACGCUGGCGGCGUGCCUAAUACAUGCAAGUCGAGCGAACGGACGAGAAGCUUGCUUCUCUGAUGUUGGCGGCGGACGGGUGAGUAACACGUGGAUAACCUACCUAUAAGACUGGGAUAACUUCGGGAAACCGGAGCUAAUACCGGAUAAUAUUUUGAACCGCAUGGUUCAAAAGUGAAAGACGGUCUUGCUGUCACUUAUAGAUGGAUCCGCGCUGCAUUAGCUAGUUGGUAAGGUAACGGCUUACCAAGGCAACGAUGCAUAGCCGACCUGAGAGGGGAUCCGGCAAAACGGGACAUGAGCCCCGGCCAAGCCCCUAACGGGGGGCAGAGGUGGGGAACCUUCCGCAAUGGGCGAAGCCUUACGGAGCAACGGCGCCGGGAUGAAUGAAGGUUUCGGAUCGGAAAAACCUGUUAUUUAGGAAAGACAAAUUGGGAAGGUAAUUGGGCCAAUUUUGAGGGUCCCAAUCAAGAAAGCAAGGCCUACUACGUG
rnacentral:rRNA from 1 species